UACGUAGGGUGCGAGCGUUAAUCGGAAUUACUGGGCGUAAAGCGUGCGCAGGCGGUUGGCAAAGUCAGCUGUGAAAGCCCCGGGCUUAACCUGGGAAUGCGGUUGAAACUAGUCGACUAGAAUCUGGCAGAGGGGGGUAGAAUUCCACGUGUAGCAGUGAAAUGCGUAGAGAUGUGGAGGAACACCGAUGGGCGAAGGCAGCCCCCUGGGAUAACACUGACGCUCAUGCACGAAAGGCGUGGGAGCAAACAGG
rnacentral:rRNA from 1 species